UCCCUACGGGGUGCAGCAGUCGCGAAAACUUUGCAAUAAGCGAAAGCUUGACAGGGCUAUCCCGAGUGCCAUCCGCUGAGGAAGGCUUUUACCCAGUCUAGAACGCUGGGGGAAUAAGGAGAGGGCAAGUCUGGUGUCAGCCGCCGCGGUAAUACCAGCUCUCCGAGUGGUGUGGAUGUUUAUUGGGCCUAAAGCAUCCGUAGCUGGCUAGGUUAGUCCCCUGUUAAAUCCACCGAAUUAAUCGUUGGAUUGCGGGGGAUACUGCUUGGCUAGGGGACGAGAGAGGCAGACGGUAUUUCCGGGGUAGGGGUGAAAUCCUAUAAUCCCGGGAAGACCACCAGUGGCGAAGGCUGUCUGCUAGAACGCGCCCGACGGUGAGGGAUGAAAGCUGGGGGAGCGAACCGGAUUAGAUACCCGGGUAGUCCCAGCUGUAAACGAUGCAGACUAGGUGUUUGAACGGCCACGUGCCGUUCUAGUGCCGCAGGGAAGCUGUUAAGUCUGCCGCCUGGGGAGUACGAUCGCAAGAUUGAAACUUAAAGGAAUUGGCGGGGGAGCACCACAAGGGGUGAAGCUUGCGGUUUAAUUGGAGUCAACGCCGGAAAUCUCACCGGGAGCGACAGCAGAGUGAAGGCCAGAUUAAAGGUCUUGCCAGACAAGCUGAGAGGUGGUGCAUGGCCA
rnacentral:rRNA from 1 species